rnacentral:rRNA from 1 species
GACAUAGGUGGCAAACGUUAUCCGGAAUUACUGGGCGUAAAGAGUGCGUAGGUGGUUGAAUAAGUUACUGGUGGAAAAUCGGGGCCCAACCCCGGUGGAAGUCAGUAAUGCUAUUCAACUCGAGGACUGGAGAGGUUAACGGAAUUCUAUGUGUAGCGGUAAAAUGCUCAAAUAUAUAGAGGAACACCAAACGGCGAAGGCAGUUAACUAUUCGGUACCUGACGUGAGGCACGGAAAGCGUGGGAGCAGACGG